CUCACCACUGACCUGUAGCAGAGCCCAACAUCUCCCACUUCCCCAACACAGCCCUGUGUCAGUCCCCAAAGUCACUGACACCCUCCCUCACCACUGACCUGUAGCAGAGCCCAACAUCUCCCACAUCCCCAACACAGCCCUGUGUCAGUCCCCAAAGUCACUGACACCCUCCCUCACCACUGACCUGUAGCAGAGCCCAACAUCUCCCACUUCCCCAACACAGCCCUGUGUCAGUCCCCAAAGUCACUGACACCCUCCCUCACCACUGACCUGUAGCAGAGCCCACAAUCUCCCACUUCCCCAUCACAGCCCUGUGUCAGCCUCCGGAAUACACCCACUGACCCACACUCUCCCUCAGGCUUAUGUCAGUCCCCAAACUAAUCGCUUACCCCACAGACAAGACGACCUCCGCCGUUGAAUCCAGGACAGGCGACGAUUCCCGCCCGGAUCUCCGUCUCAGGAAUGUUACGGCCCUCAACCACAACGCCUCCACCCCCGUCAGCAAACUGUUUCUCCUGGAAAGCCACCGCUCCUCCCCCGAAAACGAAUUGUUCGCCCUGCCAAGGAACCUCUCCGUCCUGAGCACCGAUCUCUCUGUUCAGCAUCGAGCGCAAACUCAUCUCCGAGACUGAUUCAAUGGCCUCGAAUUGAAGUACAGAACUCUCCAGGAAACCAAGGCUCAAAUCUGCCGACUACUGACGGGCAGACAGGGUGAGGAGACAUCCCCUCAUCCCCCCGCUCCGAAUCACAAGGCAGAGAGGGAGGGGAAUCUGGCGACGGGACGUGCGGCGAGAGCGACACCUGGUGUCCGGACGCGGGCAGUGCGUCAAGCGACGGAAUAUCCGGGCACAGAGGUGCAGGCUUCUCACAGAUGAAACGAUGGCGAACCUGACUGCAGCGGGGGAGAUGAGUGGACCAUGGACAUCCUUUGCAUUCGAACUGUCCAGCGUUCUUCCCGUACACGACAGGAGAGGCCACUUUUCUGCCAAGGAGGGGACAGCCACUUCAAAUGACAACUCCGGCAGACACCCCUGUGUCAGUCCCCAAAGUCACUGACACCCUCCCUCAUCACUGACCUGUAGCAGAGCCCAACAUCUCCCACUUCCCCAACACAGCCCUGUGUCAGUCCCCAAAGUCACUGAACCCUCCCUCACCACUGACCUGUAGCAGAGCCCAACAUCUCCCACUUCCCCAACACAGCCCUGUGUCAGUCCCCAAAGUCACUGACACCCUCCCUCACCACUGACCUGUAGCAGAGCCCAACAUCUCCCACUUCCCCAACACGGCCCUGUGUCAGUCCCCAAAGUCACUGACACCCUCCCUCACCACUGAGCUGUAGCAGAGCCCAACAUCUCCCACUUCCCCAACACGGCCCUGUGUCAGUCCCCAAAGUCACUGACACCCUCCCUCACCACUGACCUGUAGCAGAGCCCAACAUCUCCCACAUCCCCAACACAGCCCUGUGUCAGUCCCCAAAGUCACUGACACCCUCCCUCACCACUGACCUGUAGCAGAGCCCAACAUCUCCCACUUCCCCAACACAGCCCUGUGUCAUUCCCCAAAGUCACUGACACCCUCCCUCACCACUGACCUGUGGCAGAGCCCAACAUCUCCCACUUCCCCAACACAGCCCUGUGUCAGCCCCCAAAGUCACUGACACCCUCCCUCACCACUGACCUGUAGCAGAGCCCAACAUCUCCCACUUCCCCAACACAGCCCUGUGUCAGCCCCCAAAGUCACUAACACCCUCCCUCAGCACUGACCUGUAGCAGAGCCCACAAUCUCCCACUUCCCCAUCACAGUCCUUUGUCAGCCUCCGGAAUACACCCACUGACCCACACUCUCUCUCAGGCUUAUGACAGUCUCCAAACUAAUCGCUUACUCCACAGACGAGACGAACUCCGCCCUUGAAUCCAGGACAGGCGACGAUUCCCGCCCGGAUCUCCGUCUCAGGAACGUUCCGUCCCUCAACCACAACGCCUCCACCCCCGACAGCAAACUGUUUCUCCUGAAAAGCCACCGCUCCUCCCUCGAAAACGAAUUGUUCGCCCUGCCAAGGAACCUCUCCGUCCUGAGCACCGAUCUCUUUGUUCAGCAUCGAGCGCAAACUCAUCUCCGAGACAGAUUCAAUGGCCUCGAAUUGAAGUACAGAACUCUCCACGGAACCAAGGCUCAAAUCUGCCGACUGCUGACGGGCAGACAGGGUGAGGAGACAUCCCCACAUACCCCCGCUCCGAAUCACAAGGCAGAGAGGGAGGGGAAUGUGGAAACGGGUCGUGCGGCGAGAGCGACACCUGGUGUCCGGAAGCGGGCAGUGCGUCAAGCGACGGUGAGCCGGGAGAGACACCUAGUGGCCGGUUCCGGGAGUGCGUUAUUGCCGCCCCACAGGAGAGAGAUUCACUCUGUGCCUGACCCCGGGAGAGUGUGAUGGGACGGUGUGGAGGGAGAUUCACUCUGUGUCUGACCCCGAGAGUAUGUGAUGUGGCGGUGUGUAGGGAGAAUCACUCUGUGUCUGACCCCGAGAGUGUGUGAUGUGGCGGUGUGGAGGGAGAUUCACUCUGUGUCUUACCCCGGGAGUAUGUUAUGGGACGGUGUGGAGGGAGAUUCACUCUGUGUCUGACCCCGAGAGUGUCUGAUGGGACGGUGUGGAGGUAGAUUCACUUUGUGUCUGACCCAGGGAGUGUGUUAUGGGACGGUGUGGAGGGAGAUUCACUCUGCGCCUGACCCCGAGAGUGUGUGAUGGGACUGUGUGGUCGUAGAUUCACUCUGUGUCUGACCCCUGGAGUGUGUGAUGGGACGGUGUGGAGUGAGAUUCACUCUGUCUGACCGCGGGAGUGUGUGACGGGAAGGUGUGGAGGGAGAUUCACUCUGAGUCUGACCCCGGGAGUGUCUGAUGAGACGGUGUUGAGGGAGAUUCACUCUGUGUCCGACGCCGGGAGUGUGUGAUGGGACGCUGUGGAGAGCGAUUCACUCUGUGCCUGACGCCGGGAGUGUGUGAUGGGACGCUGUGGAGAGCGAUUCACUCUGUGCCUGACCCCGGGAGUGUGUGAUGGGACGGUGUGGAGGGAGAUUCACUCUGUGUCUGACCCCCGGAGUAUCUGAUGGUACGGUGUGGAGAGAGAUUCACUCUGUGUCUGACCCCCGGAGUCUGUGAUAGGACGGUGUUGACGGAGUUUCACUCUGUGUCUGACCCCGGGAGUGUGUGAUGGGACGGUGUCGAGGGAGAUUUACUCUGUUCCUGACCCCCGGAGAGUCUGAUGGGACGGUGCGGAGGGAGAUUCUCUCUGCGUCUGAUCCCGGGUGUGUGUGAUGGGACGGUGUGGAGGGAGAUUCACUCUGUGUCUGACCCCGGGAGUGUGUGAUGGGAUGGUGUGGAGGGAGAUUCUCUCUUUGUCUGACCCCGGGAGUGUGUGAUGGGACGGUGUGGAGGGAAGGCACGAAGAGGGCUGUCGACCCCAAAAUCUCCCACAUCCCUAUCACAGCCCUGUGUCAGUCCCCAAAGUCACUGACACCCUCCCACACCACUGACAUGUAGCAGAGCCCAACAUCUCCCACUUCCCCAUCACAGCCCUGUGUCAGCCUCCGGAAUACACCCACUGACCCACACUCUCCCUCAGGCUUAUGUCGGUCCCCAAACUAAUCGCUUACCCCACAGACGAGACGACCUCCGCCGUUGAAUCCAGGACAGGCGACGAUUCCCGCCCGGAUCUCCGUCUCAGGAAUGUUCCGGCCCUCAACCACAUCACCUCCACUCCCGACAGCAAACUGUUUGUCCUGAAAAGCCACCGCUCCUCCCUCGAAAACGAAUUGUUCGCCCUGCCAAGGAACCUCUCCGUCCUGAGCACCGAUCUCUCUGUUCAGCAUCGAGCGCAAACUCAUCUCCGAGACAGAUUCAAUGACCUCGAAUUGAAGUACAGAACUCUCCACGGAACCAAAGCUCAAAUCAGCCGACUGCUGACCUGCAGACAGGUUGAGGAGACAUCCCCACUUCCCCCCGCUCCGAAUCACAAGGCAGAGAGAGAGGGGAAUGUGGCGACGGGACGUGCGGCGAGAGCGACACCUGGUGUCCGGACACUGGCAUUGCAUCAAGCGACGCCCCAGGCCUCCAAAUGUCGGCACGUCGAUUCCCCGCAGUUUAAUGAAAUGUCACUCCCUUUAAGACUCAGACUGACGAUUAUUGCCCGUCAGCAUCGCUUCACGGAAAGUCUGUCGUUGACGUCCCCGUGCUGAGCACUCAGUGCUCCACCGUAGGAGAUCCAUUUCCAGAACUGUUCUUUGUGAUCUAAAGUUCCGAUUUCUUUACUGUCGUCCUGUUUGUUUCGAGUCUGUGUUUGAGCGUUUUCCAGACCAUGCUCUCCACUUCCCUUCCCCACCACCGGUCUCUGGCUCCAGAAGGAAUUACGGCGUCAGCAGUUUGAGAAGACUGGGUCUUUCACUGAAGACUAGAAAAUGACCGCUGGGACUGUGACGAGAUCUGAAGGAAUUUUUUUAAAGUGGACUGUUCCUUUAACAAGAUAGGGAGCGGAACAGUUUGUGUGCUAGUUCAGCAGCAGAGAGAGAGAGAGAGGGGGAGAGAGGGAGAGGGAGAGAGGGAGAGAGGGAGGGAGAGAGGGAGACGCCUUGGAAACUGAAAGGCGGAGCUACAUGACGGACAGCUGGUGGUCCGCACUGCUGAGCAAAGGCCGACUGAGUUUUUAUCCGGACGCACAGGAGACCCCCGACUCCAGGGGCAAGGAGGACACUGGUGGGAAACUUUGCCACACGGUGCGAGCAGAGUCAUCUGCAGCUUAAUGUGAAAAGGACGGGUGAGCUGGUGGUGGACCUGAGGAGGGCUGAGACACCGGUGACCCCUGUUUCCAUCCAAGGGGUCAGUGUGAACAUGGUAGAGGAUUACAAAUACCUGGGGAUACGAAUUGACAAUAAACUGGACAAAGAACACUGAUCCUGUCUACAAGAAGGGUCAGAGCCGUCUCUAUUUCCUGAGGAGACUGAGGUCUUUUAACAUCUGCCGGACGGUGCUGAGGAUGUUCUACCAGUCUGUGGUGGCCAGCGCUAUCAUGUUUGAUGUUGUGUGCUGGGGCAGCAGUCUGAUGUUAGCAGACACCAACAGAAUCAACAGACUCAUUCGUAAGGCCAGUGAUGUUGUCGGGGUGGAACUGGACUCUCUGACGGUGGUGUCUGAAAAGAGGAUGCUGUCCAAGUUGCAUGCCAUCUUGGACAAUGACUCCCAUCCACUCCAUAAUGUACUGGUCAGGCACAGCAGUACAUUCAGCCAGAGACUCAUUCCACGGAGAUGCAAUACUGAGCGUCAUAGGAAGUCAUUCCUGCCUGUGGCCAUCAAACUUUACAACUCCUCCCUCGGAGUGUCAGACACCCCCGGCCAACAGGCCGGCCCAGGACUUAUUUUUCCGCUUGGCAUAAAUUACUUAUUAUUUAUGGUUUUA